rnacentral:rRNA from 1 species
AUUGAACGCUGGCGGCAUGCCUUACACAUGCAAGUCGAACGGCAGCACGGGAGCAAUCCUGGUGGCGAGUGGCGAACGGGUGAGUAAUAUAUCGGAACGUGCCCAGUCGUGGGGAUAACGUAGCGAAAGCUACGCUAAUACCGCAUACGAUCUAUGGAUGAAAGCGGGGGAUCGCAAGACCUCGCGCGAUUGGAGCGGCUGAUAUCAGAUUAGGUUGUUGGUGAGGUAAAAGCUCACCAAGCCGACGAUCUGUAGCUGGUUUGAGAGAACGACCAGCCACACUGGGACUGAGACACGGCCCAGACUCCUACGGGAGGCAGCAGUGGGGAAUUUUGGACAAUGGGCGAAAGCCUGAUCCAGCAAUGCCGCGUGUAGGAAGAAGCC